UACGAAGGGGGCUAGCGUUGCUCGGAAUUACUGGGCGUAAAGGGCUCGUAGGCGGCCAACUAAGUCGGAUGUGAAAUCCCCAGGCUUAACCUGGGAACUGCAUCCGAUACUGGAUGGCUUGAAUCCGGGAGAGGGAUGCGGAAUUCCAGGUGUAGCGGUGAAAUGCGUAGAUAUCUGGAGGAACACCGGUGGCGAAGGCGCAUCCUGGACCGGCAUUGACGCUGAGGAGCGAAAGCCAGGGGAGCAAAACGGGG
rnacentral:rRNA from 1 species